UACGUAGGGCGCAAGCGUUGUCCGGAUUUACUGGGCGUAAAGGGCGCGUAGGCGGCCACCGCAAGUCGACUGUGAAAUCUCCGGGCUUAACCCGGAAAGGUCAGCCGAUACUGCGGGGCUAGAGUGCAGAAGGGGCAACUGGAAUUCUCGGUGUAGCGGUGAAAUGCGUAGAUAUCGAGAGGAACACCUGCGGCGAAGGCGGGUUGCUGGGCUGACACUGACGCUGAGGCGCGAAAGCUAGGGGAGCGAACUGG
rnacentral:rRNA from 1 species